CUCAUUGGCGUUUCGUGCAGUGAAAUCGUAGCGGAUUUUGGCAAAUCUCCUGGGCACAGCCACUCCCUGAGCCUCAAAAUUCCUGCAGGAGAGAAAAACUGGAGUUUUAGUGGAAGCCCACCUGGUAAUGGAACCAAAUGUGGGUUCACUGGUGGAACAAGAGUGAUGGUGGCUGGGAGUUUACAUUUGGAGGGGCAGAGUCCCUCUGCUCCUCUUUUGAGGAAGAUUUGCAGCCCUUGUUUCAGUGGAAUCCCUUGGGGCUGGGAACAAGCAAGCAAACCAAAGCUGCUGGGGUUUGGUAUGGGGCCUUCCUGGGGGCUGUGAGGCAGCUCCUGGAAGGGUGGAAGGAAUUGCUGCUUUAGGGCCUGGGGGGGCUGACACAGCAGGACCCAAAGGCUCUGAUUGCAAGUCCAGGGAAAGAGGAGUGAAAUGCUCCCUGUUCUGCCCAGUGGAAACAACUGCCCCAGAUGCCAGAGCAGGGAACAGCUGGGGGAAGAGGAAUUGAAAAUCCAAGCGGCAGAACCCACUGGAAAUCUGUGGGGUUUUUAUCAGGCUGAAUUCUGCAAGUUCCCAGGAAACCUGAGUGAAGUGCUAUCUGUUGAAUUAAAAAACCAUUUGCUGUAUGGAAAAACAGUCUUGCCUUGUGAAAGGACAGACAUCUGGAAUUGGAAAAGAGAAAUGAUCCCAAUUCUUUCCCUGCUCCACACUGCACCUGGACCACUUGAUGUUCCUACCAGGGCUUGGGGCAGCAGAAUCUUGGUGGCCACAGUUGGGAACUCGGUGAAUUGGAGCAAAGAUGAAGAGUUUGUCCACUAAGAGAAGUGGUGAAUUAUAAAGCAACGCAGAGUGAUAUUCCUUCCACAUCAGGGAUUUGGGAUUGGUGAUGGUCCCAAUCCAUCAUCUUUCUGUUCAUUUUCUUUUGGAUGCUGCAGCCUGCUGGGCUGGGGGAGCUGUUCCUUUGCAUUUAAUUUUCUGUAUUCUGUAAAUUCUCUGUGGAAAUCUGCUUUUAAUAAAAAGGCUCUUGAUGAUGUCCCAGAUUCCUGGGAUUCACAGGUGUGUGUUCAGACCAAGGAAUGUUCUGGCUGGCAGAAGCUGCACCAAUCUCCCAGGAAUCUCAGUCUGGGUUUGUCUUUGCUCCCAGUUCUCCUCAGUUUGGGGUGCAGUGCAGCCCUGCCCUGUGGAUCUCCCAGAAGAGUUUUGGGGUUAAAAAGGUUCUUUCCUAUUCUGCAGUUUUUC